CCCCUUCUCAACAUAGCCGUUGCUUCUACUUUCUUCCUGCGAAAUACUGACCUCAUGAAUACAAAACAGCAGACGGCGAGUAUCUGAAACAGCCUGAAAAGUAAUUAUUCUCAGAAGUAGAUGCAGUAUAGCACAGUUGUGUAGCUGCCUGCUAGAGCUAGCAACAGAAUAGAGUUGGCUGAGGCUGCAACCGUGUUGGUCUGUCCACCCCUCCACCCAACGGAAGGUGCCAGUCCACACUUGGCUGACCUGGAGCUUGAGGGAAUUCAGGACGUGGCAAUCUUUGCCCAUCAAUACUGACAAAACUGGAGAGGUGUUAGAAGCUGUGCUUAUUACAAAGCAGGGGGUGACUGCCGAUGUCAUCAGGCCUGGAAUGGGCACCACCACGGGGUACCGGAUGCUCGAGCCAUCUGUCCAUGCCUCUCUGCUCUGCUGCUGGCCAGGGAAAGCAUCUGCCCUGCUCCCACCCGGUUCCCCUGACUGCGGAUGUGGACUCGACCCUUAUGGCACGGUCAGAAGAGCAGUUUGACUUUGCUGGCUGAGAAAUCUCCUACCACAUGCCUGUGAGACCUCAUGUUUUGAGUGAGAUGAGAAGAAAUGCCGGCAUCGCCACCUCUGAGAUAUGCUUGCAGGGCGCCUGCGUGGCCAGCGUGACUGCGUGCUGUCCCCAGCUGCAAUGAUGUAAGUGAGACACAGCAGCAGAGAAGGAAGCUGCACAUGUUGCCUGCCCUGCACUUUUCUCUGCCUUUGGCUUGUGCUUGUCUUGUUUUACCUUCAGGGAAGAGGGACUGGACUUGAAAUACAGCAGCCACAACAGCCGCUCCAACCCAUCUCAGCUAACGUCCCUCCUCUCCUAAGAAAAAGGACUCAUGCUGCCCUCUUUAACACCUUCUAAGACUCCCACAGUAGGAUUUGGGCCUUUUAAAAAGUUUCCUCACUAAAGGGAAUAAGGGAUAUUGCUGCAAUAAGAGUCUUAAUAUCAUAGGUUGCAAAUGCAUUAGCUAUUUGCUUUCUUUCUCUGUAUCUUUAAUAAAGGGAUUUAAAGGGUUUUCUUUUUUGAUGGU
rnacentral:lncRNA from 1 species